AAAUCUCCAACUGAAAUAACGAUACUUUGCACUAGCUGUACAAGAUGAAGUAUAGAAACCUCUCAAAUUUCGUGUUGGAUACUAAGUUUGCCAUACCUAUGUGACAAAUCUCCAACUGAAAUAACGAUACUUUGCACUAGCUGUACAAGAUGAAGUAUAGAAACCUCUCAAAUUUCGUGUUGGAUACUAAGUUUGCCAUACCUAUGUGACAAAUCUCCAACUGAAAUAACGAUACUUUGCACUAGCUGUACAAGAUGAAGUAUAGAAACCUCUCAAAUUUCGUGUUGGAUACUAAGUUUGCCAUACCUAUACGUCUGAUACAUUGUAAUGAACAGAACUGAACAGUAAGAAUAGAUAUGAUUUUAAUUAUUUUUCAUCUUUAAUAGUGUUAAGUACUAUACAUAUCAAGUUGUGAAACGAGCACUUCGUGCACUAAAGUAACUCUCAUGUUUGCC
rnacentral:lncRNA from 1 species